rnacentral:rRNA from 1 species
GAUGAACGCUGUCUACAGGCUUAACACAUGCAAGUCGAGGGGAAACGACGGGGAAGCUUGCUUCCCCGGGCGUCGACCGGCGCACGGGUGAGUAACGCGUAUCCAACCUGCCUCUGACUGAGGGAUAACCCGUCGAAAGUCGGCCUAAUACCUCAUGGCAUCGUCUGCGGGCAUCCAACGACGAUUAAAGAUUUCAUCGGUCAGGGAUGGGGAUGCGUCUGAUUAGCUUGUUGGCGGGGUAACGGCCCACCAAGGCUACGAUCAGUAGGGGUUCUGAGAGGAAGGUCCCCCACAUUGGAACUGAGACACGGUCCAAACUCCUACGGGAGGCAGCAGUGAGGAAUAUUGGUCAAUGGGCGGGAGCCUGAACCAGCCAAGUAGCGUGCAGGAUGACGGCCCUAUGGGUUGUAAACUGCUUUUAUGCGGGGAUAAAGUGAGGGACGUGUCCUUCAUUGCAGGUACCGCAUGAAUAAGAACCGGCUAAUUCCGUG